CUUUGAGCCUCACCAGGUGUCUUUAGAUGUAUUUCCAGGAGUCUCCAGAUGUCUCCAAAUGUCUCCAGGUGACUCAGUUUGUCUUCAGGUUUUUCUCAAGGUGUCUUGAAGUCUCUCCAGAUAUCUCCAGAUGUCUCUAGAUGUCUCCAGGUGACUCAGUGUGUCUUCAGGUGUUACUCCAGGUGUCUUACAGUCUCUCUAGAGAUAUGCAGAUGUCUCUAUGUUUCUCCAGGUGUCUCCAUGUGUCUCUAUGUAUCUCCAGGUAUCUCCAGGUGUCUUGCAGUCUCUCUAGAGAUAUCCAGGUGUCUCUAUGUUUCCCCAGGUGUCUCCAGGUGUUUCUAUGUAUCUCCAGGUCUCUCCAGGUGUUUCUAUGUAUCACCAGGUGUCUCCAGGUGUUUCUAUGUAUCUCCAGGUCUCUCCAUGUGUGUCUAUGUAUCUCCAGGUGUCUCCAGGUGUCUUACAGUCUCUCUAGAGAUAUCCAGGUGUCUCUAUGUAUCUCCAGGUGUCUCCAGGUGUUUCUAUGUAUCUCCAGGUGUCUCCAGGUGUACUGUUUGUUUAUUUGAUGAAGCUGUAGAGGAAUGAUCCAACGAUGAGGGACAGAAUCACACAGCAGCAGAAGAUCAUCAUUUGUUUC